rnacentral:lncRNA from 1 species
AAAGAUAUCAUUAAUUUUGUAUGGAAAAAAUAUUAUCUUAAAAAGUUGUUUUAUAACAUAAUGACAUGGAAAAUAAAAGUAAAAAUAAUAGAAAGAAAAAAAUAAUAAAUAGUAGAUGAUAUAAUGCAUAACUAAGACAACUUUUUUAUAUAUAAAUAUAUAAUUUAAAAUUUAGAAUGAAAAAUAAAUGUUUAUUCUGAUGGAGGUUUUAGAGGG